UUNUUCCUCCCCUCCUCUCCGUUAGAACAGUGUGUUUAGUGAAGAACAGAACAAAGAAGCGCCGCAAGACGCGGAGGAAGAAGCCCAGCGAGACUGAACAACUCGAGACAAACCCUCCUCUUUUUCUUCUCCAUUUUUUCUUUCUCGUCCCAGAACCAGCUCCGGUUCCAGCCGGGUUCAUCCCACCAUCUUCCUCCUACCCUCACAUGCACGUCUCCUGUCUGUCCCCUGAGGGUCCUCCCCGUCCACCGGGGGGCAUUCUACCCUUCCUCUCUCUCCGUUAAUCAUCCUCUGCGACUUUUUUUUAACUAUUACUCUUUCUUUGCUGCAUCAUCUGUUGCCAAGUCCGCUCGCCUGUAUUUGUACCACACAUCUGCAAGGCUUUAUUUAAAGAUGAAACUUGUUUUUGUUCCUGUGUGUGUUCAUGAUGCGCGUCGUCUCCAUGCUGUCGGUUUGAUACUCUUCAGUCCUCAUGAUUAGAGACUCCAGCUGAGUCUUCAGGGUUCCCUCAUCUCAUCCUGUCUCUUCCUCCUCUUCUUCCUCCUCCUGUUGGGUAUGUGUAACGUGAAUCUGAUUUGUACUACUGGAUAUUCUCACCGGAGCCACAAGUACCAUCUGUAUUCUUUCUGAAACGCAGCAUGGAAAACAUUAAACUUCAAACUGAAAACUUCAA